CCCAGCUCUGCAGGAAGUAAAGAGGUAGAGAACUCAGGAGUGAAGUUAAGCCCAGGAAGCAGGGAGGGGUGGCGAAAAGGUGUUUUUUAAGAUUUGGAUU